AAAUAUAGCUUCUUAAAGAAUAUAAGAAACUAUUAUAUAUAAAGAAAACAUCUAUAAUUAUGUUACUAAAAACAUCUAAAAGCAGAACAAGUAUACAACAAUGAAUAUAUAGGCUUCUAUUAAUGCAAAAAAUAUGCUAUUCAUGACUGAUUCCAAUAACAUCCAUAGCCCUUUUGGUCUUUAAAUAUUCAUCUGUACAAGUGAUAAUGCAAAAGAUAUAUUUUAGUACAUCACUGUAACUAGCAACAGGUUCACAAGUGAUAUUGAAAACACCGCUACUACAAGCAUCAAAGAAAAUGAUCACCAGGCUUUUCAUUCAAGCAUUUCCUCAAAUAAUUCAUGUGCUAGUAAAAGAUAAAACAUUUUGAGACAAUCAAUCAACGGAAUUUCAACAAGAACACCAGAAAAUCAACAACAUUUCAGCAAGAACGCUAGAAAAUCAGCAUCAUUUCAACAAUAACAUUAGAAAAUGGAAAAGAUUAAAAAAAAGGUGAAGAAGGCAAACGAAAAGAGAAAGUAGCACAUAAUUUGAUCCAAAUCUCAAAUCAAAUGGAAGGACAUAAGUAUUUAACGACUAUACAACAAAAUCAUAGUGAUUCGGGAUAAAGGAAUGAGGAUCAUGAUGGGAAUCCAAACCAUAAACAUGAAGAAGGUAUUUGAAACACAUCACAUACCUAACAUUAAACAAAAAAGCUUCAAUUUUCACCAUAAACAAAACUAGAAAAAUGAUUUAAGAUGGAUGAAAUCGAUUUCAACAUGGAUACACAACUCAAUGACUUAAUAUUAAUCAAGAAAUAUUUAGUAGCGGGUAAACGAGCAAUGCCGCAACCAUAUGUUCGAAUCUCAGAAGCACUUCACAUAAACAACACCAUAUAAUUUUGAUUUUAGUAUACUCGAUUACAACAGAAAAAUAUAGAAACAGAAGCAGUCAACAUACCGUUCAAAUGCGAAGGGAUCCGGCGACGACGGUGGAGAAGGGAGGGACGACGACGGUGGAAGAGGGAGGUGGAGACGACGGUGUGAGUGGGGGGCAACGAUGGAAGUU
rnacentral:lncRNA from 1 species